AGUGAGUCAUCUUCGUGCGGAGAGGAUCUUCGCUCUCCACCAUCUCUGUCCGCGGCGUGAGGAGCAGCUCGGGAGCUUUCAGCCAUUUUAUCAGCUGCUUCAUCACAUCUGCUUUAUUUCUCCCAGGUUACAUUUAACCCGGGUCAGGUGUCAGACCCGGGUCAGGUGUGGACGGACAGGUGUGACCCGGGGUAUCCCCUCACGUGACCCGGUGAUGCGGACGGACCGUGGACGUCGGAGCGACAUCAGAGCGUGAAGCAUCAUGGGAGGUGGUAGAUGGACGACCAGGCCGUGGGCUGACCGGAGCCGUUGACACACACACCCACACACACACACACUCCUUUACACCAUGGAACAAGGCUUCAGCAUACACACGCUGAAGAAGCUAGCAGCAGAGGCUGACUACACGGACGUGUCUCUGACGGCGGCGGAGCGUGUGCGGGCGCUGGGGAAGAUGGGCUACAGCGUGGAGAUCAACGAGGACAUCGAGCCGAGACGUUACUUCC